GAGUUUGAUCAUGGCUCAGAUUGAACGCUGGCGGCAUGCCUUACACAUGCAAGUCGAACGGCAGCACGGGAGCUUGCUCCUGGGUGGCGAGUGGCGAACGGGUGAGUAAUGCAUCGGAACGUAUCCUGGAGUGGGGGAUAACGUAGCGAAAGUUACGCUAAUACCGCAUAUUCUGUGAGCAGGAAAGCGGGGGACCUUCGGGCCUCGCGCUCUUGGAGCGGCCGAUGUCGGAUUAGCUAGUUGGUGAGGUAAAGGCUCACCAAGGCGACGAUCCGUAGCAGGUCUGAGAGGAUGAUCUGCCACACUGGAACUGAGACACGGUCCAGACUCCUACGGGAGGCAGCAGUGGGGAAUUCUGGACAAUGGGGGCAACCCUGAUCCAGCCAUGCCGCGUGAGUGAAGAAGGCCUCGGUUGUAAG
rnacentral:rRNA from 1 species